rnacentral:rRNA from 1 species
GCUUAGCCUUAAACAUUGAUAGUACAAUACACCUACUAUCCGCCUGGGAACUACGAGCACCAGCUUAAAACCCAAAGGACUUGGCGGUGCUUUAGAUCCACCUAGAGGAGCCUGUUCUAGAACCGAUAAUCCCCGUCUAACCUCACCUUUUCUUGUUUUCCCCGCCUAUAUACCGCCGUCGUCAGCUUACCCUGUGAGGGUCCAAUAGUAAGCAAAAUUGGCACAGCCCAGAACGUCAGGUCGAGGUGUAGCGUAUGAAAAGGGAAGAAAUGGGCUACAUUCCCUACUAAAGGGAAUACGAAUGAUGCACUGAAACAUGCAUCUGAAGGAGGAUUUAGCAGUAAGUAGAAAGCAGAGUGUUCUACUGAAAUUGGCCCUGAAGCGCGC